rnacentral:rRNA from 1 species
GAUGAACGCUGGCGGCGUGCCUAAUACAUGCAAGUCGAGCGAACAGACGAGGAGCUUGCUCCUCUGACGUUAGCGGCGGACGGGUGAGUAACACGUGGAUAACCUACCUAUAAGACUGGGAUAACUUCGGGAAACCGGAGCUAAUACCGGAUAAUAUAUUGAACCGCAUGGUUCAAUAGUGAAAGACGGUUUUGCUGUCACUUAUAGAUGGAUCCGCGCCGCAUUAGCUAGUUGGUAAGGUAACGGCUUACCAAGGCAACGAUGCGUAGCCGACCUGAGAGGGUGAUCAGCCACACUGGAACUGAGACACGGUCCAGACUCCUACGGGAGGCAGCAGUGGGGAAUAUUCCGCAAUGGGCGAAAGCCUGACGGAGCAACACCGCGUGAGUGAAGAAGGUCUUCGGGUUGUAAAACCCUGUUAUUAGGGAAGAAAAAAAGUGUAAGUAAAUAUGGACGUUUUGACGGUACCUAAACAGAAAGCCACGGCUAACUACGUG